UUACCACCGAGCGGCGGGUAGAAUCCUUUG
rnacentral:snRNA from 1 species